GGAAUCGGGGGCUCCGAGACGUGGAGUCCUCUGCUCCGACCCCGGGAGCGGCUCUGGCCCGGGCGUGAGCCGGCGGCUCCCGGCCAGCACGGCAGCGCUGAGACGCGGACCGGGAGGGGAGACCGGCCGAGCGUCCAGGCUGCCGGCUGGCAAUUUCAGCUUCAGGUGGCUGGAUUUGCAGCCCUGGGAGAACCGCAGAGCCGUCUCCGAGCCUCCUGGGGGAGAAGGCUGUCAGCUCCACCAGGCCAGAAGUCUGUGUCUGGCUGGCUCGCUGCUGUACCCCAGAUGGCUGAAACAGCGCCUGUCCCACAGCAGGUGCCUCAUAAAUAGCACAGAGCUGUCCUGACUCACAGCCUGCGUGUCCUCUGCUUCAGGUGAAGUUCUGGUCAUGGCUGAGGCUUCACCCAGAGGCCCUCUCCUCCAGGAAGUCUCCCUGGAGUGUCCCGUGGGCCACACCCUCUCCUGUCAAGGCCUGUCGAGGACGCUUGAUCUGUUUCCACUCUGUCGCCACCUGUUCCUGAGUCGGUCACCGUGGACUCCUCCACAGCCCUCGGUCCCUAGGGACUGGCUGUGGCACUGGAUCCUAGCAGAAUGGAUCUGCGUGACCUCUGGGGCUGCACAUCCCGUUGUAGAACCCACUAUGCCUAGAUGAGCGAAG
rnacentral:lncRNA from 1 species